rnacentral:rRNA from 1 species
UGGGGAAUCUUGGACAAUGGGCGCAAGCCUGAUCCAGCCAUGCCGCGUGAGUGAAGAAGGCCUUGGGUUGUAAAGCUCUUUCAGCAGGAACGAAACGGUCGGCUUUAAUAAAGUCGGCUAAUGACGGUACCUGCAGAAGAAGCACCGGCUAACUACGUGCCAGCAGCCGCGGUAAUACGUAGGGUGCGAGCGUUAAUCGGAAUUACUGGGCGUAAAGCGUGCGCAGGCGGCGACAUAAGACAGAUGUGAAAUCCCCGGGCUCAACCUGGGAACUGCGUUUGUGACUGUGUUGCUAGAGUGUAGCAGAGGGGGGUGGAAUUCCACGUGUAGCAGUGAAAAUGCGUAGAGAUGUGGAGGAACACCGAUGGCGAAGGCAGCCCCCUGGGUUAACACUGACGCUCAUGCACGAAAGCGUGGGUAGCAAACGGGAUUAGAUACCCUCGUAGUCCCUGAGCGGGCUGGCAAGGCGCAU